rnacentral:rRNA from 1 species
UGGGGAAUUUUGCACAAUGGGGGAAACCCUGAUGCAGCGACGCCGCGUGAUUUAGAAGGCCUUCGGGUUGUAAAAAUCUUUUUUAUGGGAUGAAAAUGACAGUACCAUAAGAAUAAGGUCCGGCUAAAUACGUGCCAGCAGCCGCGGUAAUACGUAUGGACCGAGCGUUGUCCGGAAUCAUUGGGCGUAAAGGGUACGUAGGCGGCCCAGUAAGUUAGAAGUGAAAUAAUAUAGCUCAACUAUAUAAAGCUUUUAAAACUGCUAGGCUUGAGAGAUGGAAGGGAAAGUGGAAUUCCUAGUGUAGCGGUGAAAUGCGCAGAUAUUAGGAAGAAUACCGGUGGCGAAGGCGACUCUCUGGUCUGUAACUGACGCUGAGGCUCGAAAGCGUGGGUAGCAAACAGG